rnacentral:tRNA from 1 species
GUCCGCGUAGCUCAGUUGGAUAGAGCGUCUGCCUCCGGAGCAGAAGGUCGCAGGUUCGAGUCCUGCCGCGGAUG